GGGGGGGGGGGGGGGGGGGGGGGGGGGGGGGGGGGGGGGGGGGGGGGGGGGGGGGGGGGGGGGGGGGGGGGGGGGGGGGGGGGGGGAUGCCCAUGUGUAUUAUGGGAUGCCCAGGUGACAUUUUGGGGUCCCCAGGUGUAUUUUGGGGUCCCCAGGUGUAUUAUGGGAUGCCCAGGUGACACUUCGGGGUCCCCAGGUGAUAUUCUGGG
rnacentral:lncRNA from 1 species